rnacentral:lncRNA from 1 species
AAAUUCAAAGACAAAUAAACCAUUCUACGUUCUACAAUAUCCCAGCAGAUAAGUUUUAUUGAGCUUAGAAAUUAGAGAAUACGCGUUCUUUGUCUGGGGGAGUGGAACUCCUAAAACAGCAAGCUUGCCCAAGCAGCAAUAAAAGCAAAGCCACCCAAUGGGGCAAAGGUAGAAUAUUUUUUGUCUUCAAGAUAUGCCACAGCAUAACACCUGCAAACAAC